rnacentral:tRNA from 1 species
GGUGGCUCAGUGGUAGAGUGCUUGCCUUGCAUGCAUGAGGCCCUGGGUUCAAUUCUUGAGCACCA